GCACCUCGAUACAACCCCCGUUGAUUCUGACUGUUUGACGUGGGUUUCUCGGGUGCUACAGAAAGUCACUGUAUAUCCAGAUGGACCUCCUCUUCCCGUGGAGUCUGUCUCUACAACUUUGAUACAAAA